rnacentral:lncRNA from 1 species
CCCACCCCCACCUGCUGCCUCUGGGAUGAGAGAGAUGCAUCCUGGGGUGCGAUGCUACUGUGAUGGGUCUCACAGCCCUCCCCCACCCUCGCCCGUUUGUUCUGUGAAGUGUGUAUAUCAGUGUCCAUGGAGCCUUUUACUCUCUAGGUGCCUUAUAACGUUUCAGGGCCAACCUUUACAAAUCCAGACCCAGUAGAAAAAGCACUCUUUUUUCCCCUCAAGGAUACUGAGCCCUGGAUGCUGCCUGAUUCUAGACACAGAGAGAGAUGGCCCACCGCUACCGGUUACUGAGGGCAUCAGUGCUCUAGGUCAGGUUUUUGCACUGAUACACUCAGGGAGACCACUCUUUCUUAGCCAGAUAUGGUCCUUAUGUGGGGAUGGAUACUUGAAGUUUUCCCGGCAUCCCUCAACAGGAGAGGACUAAAAUUUCUGCUUACUACUGUAGGACAAAGUGGUUGUCCCAGCUCUUUGAAAGACCAGCAGAUGCGCUCUGCUUUUUGCUGCUCUGUGAGGCCACCCAAGAUGAGUCAGGAACAGAAGAUCCCUCCAGGCUCGUGGGCCUGGAUUUGCUCCCUCAGGAUUUCCAGCGAACCUGCGCUGGGAACCAGUGUGAGGACAGAGCACUCGUCUGUGUUACCUGCCUUGGCCUAAGAGUGUCAGGCCCCCUGCUGAUACGAAUAUCCCCUCUUCCCUGAGUGAGGCCUUCUGUUGAUUGCAGAGGUGACCUGUCUCCACCCUCCCCUAACAGGAAAAACAAAACGAAAGAGUUCAUUCAUACUCUGAUUUUCCAACACUGGAGAAACUGCGUUUUAUUUCAUAGUUCUAAGGCAGUCUUACCAUUUGUCAAUAAAGGCUGAACAAAUGCCAUGGAUUUAGCAGUAGCAUCCAAGAACCAGGCCUUUAACCCCAACAAAGUGUGUGUGUGUUGCACAUUGCAAGAACUGCAAGGCUGGAACUGGUUUAUUGGAACACCUUAGUGUCUGUGAGCUUCUGCUCUCUCAUUCUUUACACCAACAGGCAUGACAAAAAAAAGCAGCACAUCAGAGUGUCUGCCUCUUUUAAACAAACUUGACUUUGCCAGGCUGGCAAUUUUAUAGCUGUCUCCCCCAACAAAGUGUGUGUGUGUUGCACAUUGCAAGAACUGCAAGGCUGGAACUGGUUUAUUGGAACACCUUAGUGUCUGUGAGCUUCUGCUCUCUCAUUCUUUACACCAACAGGCAUGACAAAAAAAAGCAGCACAUCAGAGUGUCUGCCUCUUUUAAACAAACUUGACUUUGCCAGGCUGGCAAUUUUAUAGCUGUCUCCCAUUUCUGUUCCUGUCCUGCCCCCAGGAUUUGGGAUUUAGCUGAGACAUUUCUACCUCAACAGGUGACAUGUCCCAUGUCCUGCAGGCUCCUGCAUAACCCUUCCAGGGCUGGUAUAAAAGGCAGAAAUUACAGCUCUGGUUUUGUAAGAUCUUGAGUGGCUCUAAAGCAAAUAAGAAUACUAUCAUCUACCUAGGAAUUUAAAAAAAAAUCCCAAAGAAAAAGUAAGCAAGACGGAGCUGUGUUCAUAUUGAAUUUGGGGGUCCAGCUAUUCCCCCCACCCCAUCUUCUUCCCAGCCCUUCAGGAAUACUGCCCUACUUCAUUAAUUUUACAUAGAAGAAACUGCCUUGUAAACAGAGGCUUCUGUAGUACACGUCUGGCCUUUAACAUAUCUGGAAACCAGAGUCAAAUUUCUGUCUGGCUUUUUGUCUCAUCCCUCUUGGCAAAAGAAGUUUUUGAAACCAUAGACAAUGCUGAGUAACGAGAGUAUUAAUGUGCUUAACCCCCAUGACUGAAAUGCCAUGAUCAAGUCUGUCAAUAAAAAGCAGCUGCCUGAACCAAGCAAUUCCUUGUAUGUUUUGGAAAGAGAUCUGCUUAUUAAGAGAAUCAUCAUAAGC